rnacentral:rRNA from 1 species
UACGGGGGGGGCAAGCGUUGUUCGGAAUUACUGGGCGUAAAGGGCUUGUAGGCGGCCAACUAAGUCAGACGUGAAAUCCCUCGGCUUAACCGGGGAACUGCGUCUGAUACUGGAUGGCUAGAGUGUGGGAGAGGGAUGCGGAAUUCCAGGUGUAGCGGUGAAAUGCGUAGAUAUCUGGAGGAACACCGGUGGCGAAGGCGGCAUCCUGGACCGACACUGACACUGAGGAGCGAAAGCCAGGGGAGCAAACGGG